rnacentral:misc_RNA from 1 species
CCGAGUUUACAACUCCCAAACCCCCUGUGAACUUAUACCAUUACUGUUGCUUCGGCGGGUUAUUGCCCCGGGGAAAGGACCAGGUGCCGUCAAGGUUCCCUGCCCGCCCCCGGAAACAGGCGCCUGCCGGGGGACUCAAACUCUUGUAUCUUUUUUAUAGCAUGUCUGAGUGGAAUCAUAAACAAAUGAAUCA